rnacentral:rRNA from 1 species
UACGGGGGGGGGCAAGCGUUGUUCGGAAUUACUGGGCGUAAAGGGCUCGUAGGCGGCCAACUAAGUCAGACGUGAAAUCCCUCGGCUUAACCGGGGAACUGCGUCUGAUACUGGAUGGCUUGAGUUUGGGAGAGGGAUGCGGAAUUCCAGGUGUAGCGGUGAAAUGCGUAGAUAUCUGGAGGAACACCGGUGGCGAAGGCGGCAUCCUGGACCAACACUGACGCUGAGUGAGCGAAAGGCCAGGGGAGCAAAACGGGG